rnacentral:rRNA from 1 species
AUUGAACGCUGGCGGCAUGCCUUACACAUGCAAGUCGAACGGUAACAGGUCUUCGGAUGCUGACGAGUGGCGAACGGGUGAGUAAUACAUCGGAACGUGCCUAGUAGUGGGGGAUAACUACUCGAAAGAGUGGCUAAUACCGCAUGAGAUCUACGAAUGAAAGCAGGGGAUCGCAAGACCUUGUGCUACUAGAGCGGCCGAUGGCAGAUUAGGUAGUGGGUGGGAUAAAAGCUUACCAAGCCGACGAUCUGUAGCUGGUCUGAGAGGACGAUCAGCCACACUGGGACUGAGAAACGGCCCAGACUCCUGCGGGAGGCAGCAGUGGGGAAUUGUGGACAAUGGGCGCAAGCCUGAUCCAUCAAUGCCGCGUGCAGGAUGAAGGCCUUCGGGUUGUAAACUGCUUUUGUACGGAACGAAAAGCCCCGAGUUAAUACCCUGGGGUCAUGACGGUACCGUAAGAAUAAGCACCGGCUAACUACGUGCCAGCCGCCGCCGUAA